AGAUUCGAGUUACAAAAUGGCCGCCCGGAGCGUGUUCGGCGCGGUUCCCCCAGCUGUCUCUGGCUGAACCGGCGCUCUCGCCUCCCUGCCGAACACAGCGUGAGGAGCCCCCCCAGGGAUAUGGUGUUUGAGUCUCUGGGCUUGCCGAGCACUAAGUCCUCUGAGUUCCGCAGCGCAGCACCGGAAGCGGCCGAGCGCGCUCAGCCCGGCGACCCCUGCGGGCUCCAGACCCCUGCGCCGCUGCGCCCCGGGUUUCGCCGCAACCAAGACCCAGCGAGUGCAGCGGCGGCCGCCGAGGAGGUUCGAAAACAUGGCCAAAAGAAAUGCCGAGAAGGAACUGACAGAUAGGAAUUGGGAUCAAGAAGAUGAAGCUGAAGAGGUGGGAACAUUCUCCAUGGCCAGUGAGGAAGUCUUGAAGAAUAGAGCCAUAAAGAAAGCAAAGCGCAGAAAUGUUGGAUUUGAAGUGAGUGCCCCCUUACAGCUCUUGCUAUUAAAUACUCAUUUGAUUUCUGGGUUGCACAGCAAUCCCUCCGCUGGGAGCAAUGAUAUCAACAAAUGCUUUCUUAAAAUACUUAUUCUUUGAUGUAGGUCAUGGGAGAUAGAAAAAAAUAAGAAACGUCAGGUCUGGACCUUAAAGAGAGCUUAUCCAGUUGAGGAAAUAAGAUAAAUAUAGACAAAUUCAAGUUGAGUGACAAUCUGGAGAAGAAAAAUGAGCAAAGCAAUACAGAGGUGGGCGAAGUGGCAUCAGAUUGGAGGAAGAAAGGAAAACGCAAGGAUCUUCUGAGAGUCUUGUCUGCUCCCUGCGAUUGAGGCCUUGGUAGGGGGAGCCCUUUCACUAUACUAGAGGCAUUUUAGGUGUGGAUUUUUUGCUAGUAUAGUAUAUUAAAAUGAUUCAUUCCUGUGCUAAGAAGGAUGGAAGAUGAGUUGUAACUCCUAAAUUGAAAUAAUGUGCUGAUUAUUAAGCAGUCACUCCGCAUCUAAGAACU
rnacentral:lncRNA from 1 species